GAUGAACGCUGGCGGCGUGCCUAAUACAUGCAAGUCGAGCGAACAGACGAGGAGCUUGCUCCUCUGACGUUAGCGGCGGACGGGUGAGUAACACGUGGAUAACCUACCUAUAAGACUGGGAUAACUUCGGGAAACCGGAGCUAAUACCGGAUAAUAUAUUGAACCGCAUGGUUCAAUAGUUAAAGACGGUUUUGCUGUCACUUAUAGAUUGAUCCGCGCCGCAUUCGCUAGUUGGUAAGGUAACGGCUUACCAAGGCAACGAUGCGUAGCCGACCUGAGAGGGUGAUCGGCCACACUGGAACUGAGACACGGUCCAGACUCCUACGGGAGGCAGCAGUAGGGAAUCUUCCGCAAUGGGCGAAAGCCUGACGGAGCAACGCCGCGUGAGUGAUGAAGGUCUUCGGAUCGUAAAACUCUGUUAUUAGGGAAGAACAAAUGUGUAAGUAACUGUGCACGUCUUGACGGUACCUAAUCAGAAAGCCACGGCUAACUACGUG
rnacentral:rRNA from 1 species